UACGUAGGGGGCAAGCGUUGUCCGGAAUCAUUGGGCGUAAAGCGCGUGUAGGCGGUUCGAUAAGUCUGCUGUGAAAGUCAAAGGCUUAACCUUUGAAUGCCAGUGGAUACUGUCGGACUAGAGUGCGGAAGAGGCAAGUGGAAUUCCUGGUGUAGCGGUGAAAUGCGCAGAUAUCAGGAGGAACACCGAUGGCGAAGGCAGCCCCCUGGGCUGAGAUUGACGCUCAGGCACGAAAGCGUGGGGAGCAAACAGG
rnacentral:rRNA from 1 species